rnacentral:rRNA from 1 species
UACGUAGGGCCAAGCGUUGUCCGGAUUUAUUGGGCGUAAAGAGCUCGUAGGUGGUUCGGCAAGUCAGUUGUGAAAUCUCCGCGCUCAACGCGGAGGGGUCAGCUGAAACUGCUGUGACUUGAGUCUGGUAGGGGAGUGUGGAAGUUCCCGGUUGUAGCGGUGAAAUGACGCAGAUAUCGAGGAGGAACACCGAGUGGCGAAGGCAGGUCUCCUGGGCCGAUA